rnacentral:rRNA from 1 species
AUACGUAGGGGGCGAGCGUUGUCCGGAAUGAUUGGGCGUAAAGGGCGCGUAGGCGGCUUUGCAAGUCAGUAGUGGAAGUCCAUUUUUCAAGGAUGGAAGUGCUACAGAAACUGCGGAGCUUGAGUGCAGGAGAGGUUAUCGGAAUUCCCGGUGUAGCGGUGAAAUGCGUAGAGAUCGGGAGGAACACCAGUGGCGAAGGCGGGUAACUGGACUGCAACUGACGCUGAGGCGCGAAAGUGUGGGGAGCAAACAGGAUUAGAUACCCUGGUAGUCCACACUGUAAACGAUGAAUGCUAGGUGUAGGAGGUAUCGACCCCUUCUGUGCCGCAGUAAACACAGUAAGCAUUCCGCCUGGGGAGUACGGUCGCAAGAUUAAAACUCAAAGGAAUCGACGGGG